rnacentral:rRNA from 1 species
GACGAACGCUGGCGGCAGGCCUAACACAUGCAAGUCGAACGAGUGGCGGACGGGUGAGUAAUGUCUGGGAAACUGCCCGAUGGAGGGGGAUAACUACUGGAAACGGUAGCUAAUACCGCAUACCAUCGGAUGUGCCCAGAUGGGAUUAGCUAGUAGGUGGGGUAAAGGCUCACCUAGGCGACAAUCCCUAGCUGGUCUGAGAGGAUGACCAGCCACACUGGCACUGAGACACGGGCCAGAAGCCUACGUGCGGCAGCAGUGGGGAAUAUUGCACAAUGGGCGCAAGCCUGAUGCAGCCAUGCCGCGUGUAUGAAGAAGGCCUUCGGGUUUUAAAGUACUUUCAGCGGGGAGGCGUGACCCGCAGAAGAAGCACCGGCUAACUCCGUGCCAGCAGCCGCGGUAAUAC